rnacentral:rRNA from 1 species
AUUGAACGCUGGCGGCAGGCCUAACACAUGCAAGUCGAGCGGAGCGGCGGACGGGUGAGGAAUGCCUAGGAAUCUGCCUGGUAGUGGGGGAUAACGUCCGGAAACGGGCGCUAAUACCGCAUACUAUCAGAUCAGCCUAGGUCGCAUUAGCUAGUUGGUGGGGUAAAGGCCUACCAAGGCGACGAUCCGUAGCUGGACUGAGAGGAUGAUCAGUCACACUGGAACUGAGACACGGUCCAGACUCCUACGGGAGGCAGCAGUGGGGAAUAUUGGACAAUGGGCGAAAGCCUGAUCCAGCCAUGCCGCGUGUGUGAAGAAGGUCUUCGGAUUGUAAAGCACUUUAAGUUGGGAGGCGUUACCAAAAGAAAAAGCAACGGCUAACUUCGUGCCAGCAGCCGCGGUAAUAC